CUACGGAGGGUGCAAGCGUUACUCAGAAUCACUGGGCGUAAAGCGCGCGCAGGCGGGCUGAUAAGUUGGAUGUGAAAGCCUACGGCUCAACCGUAGAACUGCAUCCAAAACUGUCAGUCUAGAGUGUGGGAGAGGAAGAUGGAAUUAGUUGUGUAGGGGUAAAAUCCGUAGAGAUAACUAGGAAUACCAAAAGCGAAGGCAAUCUUCUGGAACACUACUGACGCUGAGGCGCGAAGGCGUGGGGAGCAAACAGAAUUAGAUACCCGAGUAGUCC
rnacentral:rRNA from 1 species